CAGUUGACUCAAAUCUUGUUUCCAAAUUUGUCGAUAAGACAAUGGUUAUUGCCAAACAUUAAGUAUACGUUUUCAAAAUUUUAUUUAUUUUUUGUGACAAAGUGAAAUUUAAAAUUAAUAUUUAUUGUUUUAAAAUUUAUUUUUCCAAAAAAACACAUUCUUUCAAAAUAGUCACUUUGGCAAAAAAAAAAACACCCCCACCCCCAAGUUAAACUCCUAGUGAAUGUCCCUGGCACUUUUAACAGAGUGCCUACAGGAUUUUAAUUAAAGGAAUUCUAACUCAGAUAUUUGAUGACGUCAAUUUUAAUUUUAUUCUACGGCAAAAGAGGAAUCUUUAAAAUCAAUGCUCCCAAGAAAACGACCCAAACCAAUAAUACAAACUCAGUCUUCAGAGCUAACUGUCUUUGAGUCUCGCAAUGAUUCUUUGCCUCAGUCCAAAUCAAUAAAUUUGCCAAGUAAAGGAAGAGCAGUAACCUUAAAGAAACAAUAUUUCAACCCAAAAGACAUAUGGUGUUCUUGCAACUAUAUUUGAACGGAGAUAUAAUGUAUUUGCUCCAAGUCAGUCAGAUAUCUUAAAAACGAGUUGUAAGAGAAUGCCAGAAAAUGGAAGCCAAGAUUUUUCCAAAAUUACAGAGUGGGGAUCCUUAUUGUAUUCAUUUCGAGGAUACAAGACAGAAGCAGAGAAGAAUAUAAUGUAGUUAUGCUAAAAAACGCCACUUUGGAAAUCAAACUUGGUGUCUUAAAAUAGAAAAAUGGGGAUACACAAAGAAUUGCAUAAAUCAAUUGAUGAUUACGAUGCCCGGAAAAAUAUUCACAUGAUUAUCUGCAACACGACAGCAGUAAAUACUGGUGCAAAGUGUUCUGUUCCUGGAUGCAAUCAGGGUCAUGCCUUCAUUUCAAAGGAUCCGGAUGUGACCCUCCGCAGAUUUUCCAUAAAAGUCCAAAAAACCAGAAGAUGAAUGCUGUAAUAAAUAGAAAAAUCCCUCCAACUGCCAACUUAGACGGUUGAAAGACGAUGCCAUCCCUUCAAAGUGACCAAAUCAGGUGAGCUACCUCAGCUCAGUACCUUCAAGACCAACACAGGUAUCAACGAGCACCAAAAUAUUGCAAUUGGAGAAUGAGAGAAAAUAAAGUUGGGUCUGGGGUAUGCAAUAUUCAUGGAAGAGAGAGUUCUAGGUGCUUAAAAUUCCAAAAAUUGCAUUUUUCAAAAUCAUAAAAUCAGAUAAGAAUGGUGUAGUGGAGGUGAAAUUAUUCCUCUCCAUCACAAUCUUAUGUAACCGCAUCGAACUAAAUAAGAGCCUUGUAUACCACUGCAUAAAUUCAGCCACUAAAAUUAACUUUUGUCACUGAAGCCAUGAAUUGCAGCUUUUCUUGCAAAUAGACAUAUCUUCAAGUCGGCAGAAAUGGACCAGGUUCAAUCUUCUAAGCUGUCAUUCAUAAUGGAGCAAAUGUCUCAUCACUUCAAACAACCUAUGUCUUUAUGUCUGCUUCGGCAACAAAAUGUGAAUAUGACUCUUGGAGAAGAUGAAAAAUGGCAUUCAUUUUCUCCAGCGUUGUUCUAAUUAGGAUGAUGAUAUCUGGAAGGAACCCGAGAUUAUAUUAUUUAGGAUUUUGCUCCUCUAUAGAUUGAAGAUAUUGAGCUUACAUUAUACGAAAUAAGUCAUAAGAGUAUGAUUCGAAUUCAUGAAAUAAUAUAUACCUAUAUAUUAAUUUUUUUCAUUGUAUAAUUAUAGCUUUGAACUUUCAACUAGAGGUUUACCCCUUUACUGGAUAUAGAGUAUCACCUAGACAUCCUUCCAAGUAUCAUAAAGGGUAUUUAGAAAUAUUGGAAGUAUCAUCAUGUUUUGUUUUUUUAAUAUCGAUAAGUGCAAAAGAAUUAUUACAGCAGCACCAUUCACUUCUUAAAGUUCGCCUAAAAAAGAUAAAUUGAGAUCCUUAGUUAAAAUUAUCAAUAUGAUAUAAAAAUUGUAUGUUAUGUAAGACCAUUAUGAAAAUCUACUUACUAUAAAAUUGUCUUUUUGGGAUAUUCAACAAUAGCAAGGAUUAGUAUUUACUAUUGCUAGAUAUAUAUUACAAUCAUUCUUAAUUCUUCAAUGGGAAAUUCUAUUGGUUCUAUGAAUUAUAAUAACAGGAAUUGCCUGUAGUUACCAAGAAAAGUUGCCAUAGUUCAUGCAUUAAUUUAAAGAAAUCUACCUCUAUAAAAAAAAUGAUUAUACCUUCUACAAAAAACUAAAAGUGAAUUGUUCAUCUUUUUAUCAAUCUGUAAUGCCAUAUUAACAAUAUAAAUUUGUAAAUGUACUCAGUUGUAGAGCAGUAAAAAACUUUGUAUUUAUUAAA
rnacentral:lncRNA from 1 species